rnacentral:rRNA from 1 species
GACGAAGGAUGCAAGCGUUAUCCGGAUUCAUUGGGGUUAAAGGGAGCGUAGGUGGCCUUAUAAGUCAGUGGUGAAAUCCUGUUGCUUAACAACAGAAUUGCCAUUGAUACUGUAGGGCUUGAGUACAGAUGCCGUUGGCGGAAUAUGACAUGUAGUGGUGAAAUACAUAGAGAUGUCAUAGAACACCGAUUGCGAAGGCAGCUGACGAAACUGUAACUGACACUGAGGCUCGAAAGUGCGGGGAUCAAACAGG